rnacentral:rRNA from 1 species
GCGGCGGACGGGUGAGUAACACGUGGGUAACCUACCUAUAAGACUGGAAUAACUCCGGGAAACCGGGGCUAAUGCCGGAUAACAUGUUGAACCGCAUGGUUCUACAGUGAAAGACGGUCUUGCUGUCACUUAUAGAUGGACCCGCGCCGUAUUAGCUAGUUGGUGGGGUAACGGCCUACCAAGGCGACGAUACGUAGCCGACCUGAGAGGGUGAUCGGCCACACUGGAACUGAGACACGGUCCAGACUCC